AACGAACGCUGGCGGCAUGCCUAACACAUGCAAGUCGAACGAGACCUUCGGGUCUAGUGGCGCACGGGUGCGUAACGCGUGGGAACCUGCCCUUAGGUUCGGAAUAACUCCCCGAAAGGGGUGCUAAUACCGGAUAAUGUCUUCGGACCAAAGAUUUAUCGCCUUUGGAUGGGCCCGCGUUGGAUUAGCUAGUUGGUAGGGUAAAAGCCUACCAAGGCGACGAUCCAUAGCUGGUCUGAGAGGAUGAUCAGCCACACUGGGAGUGAGACACGGCCCAGACUCCUACGGGAGGCAGCAAUGGGGAAUAUUGGACAAUGGGCGAAAGCCUGAUCCAUCAAGGCCGCGUGAGUGAUGAAGGCCUUAGGGUUGUAAAGCUCUUUUAACCGGGAUGAUAAUGACAGUACCGGGAGAAUAAGCGCCGGCUAACUCCGUG
rnacentral:rRNA from 1 species